UACAGAGGGUGCAAACGUUGUUCGGAUUUACUGGGCGUAAAGCGCGUGUAGGCGGCUACGUGUGUCGGGCGUGAAAGCCCACGGCUCAACCGUGGAAGUGCACCCGAAACUGCGUAGCUAGAGUCCUGGAGAGGAAGGUGGAAUGCUUGGUGUAGAGGUGAAAUUCGUAGAUAUCAAGCGGAACACCGGUGGCGAAGGCGGCCUUCUGGACAGUGACUGACGCUGAGACGCGAAAGCGUGGGGAGCAAACAGG
rnacentral:rRNA from 1 species